rnacentral:rRNA from 1 species
UACGUAGGGUGCGAGCGUUGUCCGGAAUUAUUGGGCGUAAAGGGCUCGUAGGCGGUUUGUCGCGUCGGGAGUGAAAACGCCGGGCUUAACUCGGUGCUUGCUUUCGAUACGGGCAGACUAGAGGUAUGCAGGGGAGAACGGAAUUCCUGGUGUAGCGGUGAAAUGCGCAGAUAUCAGGAGGAACACCGGUGGCGAAGGCGGGUCUCUGGGCCGAUACUGACGCUGAGGAGCGAAAGCGUGGGGAGCGAACAGG